CGGACCUACGGUUAGGGUCUUCUGGUGAAGAGAGGUAGUUUUAGAAAAAAGGCUUUGCCUGCUAUCUCUUACCCCCUUCUUUUAGGUACCUUCGUUUCCUCGGCGGGUUCGCCCGCCGAUUGGACAAUUUAAACCAUUUGCAGUUGCAAUCAGCGUCUGAAAAAACUUAAUAGUUACAACUUUCAACAACGGAUCUCUUGGUUCUGGCAUCGAUGAAGAACGCAGCGAAAUGCGAUAAGUAGUGUGAAUUGCAGAAUUCAGUGAAUCAUCGAAUCUUUGAACGCACAUUGCGCCCCUUGGUAUUCCAUGGGGCAUGCCUGUUCGAGCGUCAUUUGUACCUUCAAGCUCUGCUUGGUGUUGGGUGUUUGUCUCGCCUCUGCGUGUAGACUCGCCUCAAAACAAUUGGCAGCCGGCGUAUUGAUUUCGGAGCGCAGUACAUCUCGCGCUUUGCACUCAUAACGACGACGUCCAAAAGUACAUUUUUACACUCUUGACCUCGGAUCAGGUAGGGAUACCCGCUGAACUUAA
rnacentral:rRNA from 1 species